rnacentral:rRNA from 1 species
UACAUAGGAAUCUACCUAGUAGUGGGGGAUAGCUCGGGGAAACUCGAAUUAAUACCGCAUACGACCUACGGGGGAAAGGGGGCAACUUGUUGCUCUCGCUAUUAGAUGAGCCUAAGUCGAUUAGCUAGAUGGUGGGGUAAAGGCCUACCAUGGCGACGAUCUGUAGCUGGUCUGAGAGGAUGAUCAGCCACACCGGGACUGAGACACGGCCCGGACUCCUACGGGAGGCAGCAGUGGGGAAUAUUGGACAAUGGGGGCAACCCUGAUCCAGCCAUGCCGCGUGUGUGAAGAAGGCCUUUUGGUUGUAAAGCACUUUAAGCAGUGAAGAAGACUCCAUGGUUAAUACCCAUGGACGAUGACAUUAGCUGCAGAAUAAGCACCGGCUAACUCUGUGCCAGCAGCCGCGGUAAUACAGAGGGUGCAAGCGUUAAUCGGAAUUACUGGGCGUAAAGCGAGCGUAGGUGGCUUGAUAAGUCAGAUGUGAAAGCCCCGGGCUUAACCUGGGAACGGCAUCUGAUACUGUUAGGCUAGAGUAGGUGAGAGGAAGGUAGAAUUCCAGGUGUAGCGGUGAAAUGCGUAGAGAUCUGGAGGAAUACCGAUGGCGAAGGCAGCCUUCUGGCAUCAUACUGACACUGAGGUUCGAAAGCGUGGGUAGCAAACAGGAUUAGAUACCCUGGUAGUCCACGCCGUAAACGAUGUCUACUAGUCGUUGGGUCCCUUGAGGACUUAGUGACGCAGCUAACGCAAUAAGUAGACCGCCUGGGGAGUACGGCCGCAAGGUUAAAACUCAAAUGAAUUGACGGGGGCCCGCACAAGCGGUGGAGCAUGUGGUUUAAUUCGAUGCAACGCGAAGAACCUUACCUGGUCUUGACAUAUCUAGAAUCCUGCAGAGAUGCGGGAGUGCCUUCGGGAAUUAGAAUACAGGUGCUGCAUGGCUGUCGUCAGCUCGUGUCGUGAGAUGUUGGGUUAAGUCCCGCAACGAGCGCAACCCUUGUCCUUAGUUACCAGCGGUUUGGCCCGGGAACCUCUAAGGAUACUGCCAGUGACAAACUGGAGGAAGGCGGGGACGACGUCAAGUCAUCA